UUCAGCUGUGAUUGUUAGAAAUAAACAAAAGAAGUAAUGGAAAAGCUGAAGAAUUCUGCGCGGCCUGGGGUGCAGAGGCUGGUUGGGAAAUGGUUCUUAGGACAGGCAGUCCAAGGCAACAUACCUGGAGGCUGGGAGUCUUCAGGCAGGCAGUGGUACUUAGCACCAGUGGCUUGAGCAGAGUGUACAUGCCCCCUGGUAGAUCAGAUGGGAAAGGAGUCCAGGGGGCCUGGUCUGCCAACGAGCAACAAGAAAGCAAGAGAAAACCUAGGAAGUAUUUUGGGCCCAGCUCUGAAAAGUUAGAGUUGUGUUUUGUUUUUCUCUCAAGAGCUUUUUUUUUUUUUAACUGAAAGAAAAUAGGAUAGCAUAGGUUAGCCUUGAAUAAAACAGAAAACACCAGAAUGUGUCACAUAUUAAGACCAAGUGUUGUACAGUGAAGCUGGUUUUAGAAAAAUGACUGGCAGGAUGAAAAAUGGGACUUAUGAUCAGGUGACCUAUUUAAAAACAAAAGUUUUGGUUUAUACUAAAGUAUAUUUUUAAAAGGUACCACCAUGGCAUUGGUAUAAUUUUAUCUUCCCCCUCCUUUCAGUGGGAAAAAAAA
rnacentral:lncRNA from 1 species